rnacentral:rRNA from 1 species
UGGGGAAUAUUGGACAAUGGGCGCAAGCCUGAUCCAGCCAUGCCGCGUGUGUGAAGAAGGCCUUUUGGUUGUAAAGCACUUUAAGCGAGGAGGAGGCUACUUGGAUUAAUACUCUAGGAUAGUGGACGUUACUCGCAGAAUAAGCACCGGCUAACUCUGUGCCAGCAACCGCGGUAAUACAGAGGGUGCGAGCGUUAAUCGGAUUUACUGGGCGUAAAGCGUGCGUAGGCGGCUUCUUAAGUCGGAUGUGAAAUCCCUGAGCUUAACUUAGGAAUUGCAUUCGAUACUGGGAAGCUAGAGUAUGGGAGAGGAUGGUAGAAUUCCAGGUGUAGCGGUGAAAUGCGUAGAGAUCUGGAGGAAUACCGAUGGCGAAGGCAGCCAUCUGGCCUAAUACUGACGCUGAGGUACGAAAGCAUGGGGAGCAAACAGG